CCGUAGCCCAAGAGAUCGGGAUAACACCUGGAAACAGAUGCUAAUACCGGAUAACAACAGAUGAUGCCUAUCAACUGUUUAAAAGAUGGUUCUGCUAUCACUCUUGGAUGGACCUGCGGNGCAUUAGCUAGUUGGUAGGGUAACGGCCUACCAAGGCGAUGAUGCAUAGCCGAGUUGAGAGACUGAUCGGCCACAUUGGGACUGAGACACGGCCCAAACUCCUACGGGAGGCAGCAGCG
rnacentral:rRNA from 1 species